GGUCGUCAACUGUUUGUGACCCAACUGUUAUCAACUGCACGUGAAGAACAGAAAUCAAAGGAUUGCUGCUAUGUCUGAAAAAACGGAGGUUGAUUUAACCGGAGCUAAGCAAAACCAUGGCGUAUGGCUAGUAAAGGUUUCCAGUGCCGAGCCCAGCAGUGCGCCAACGCGUCAGGGAAAGGAGAGGUUGGAAAGUGUCAUUCACACUGAAUGAGGACCUGACCAGCCUGUCUGCAUUUGGGGAGAAGGCAGCGUCGGUACGAGCCCCACGGGACCAUCCAAUGACCAUGCACAGUGUAGGGGGAAAGACUAUGGCUGUGUUCACUGAAAGCU